rnacentral:rRNA from 1 species
GGGCCCGCACAAGCGGUGGAGCAUGUGGUUUAAUUCGAUGAUACGCGAGGAACCUUACCAGGACUUAAAUGUAAGUUGCAUGAUUCAGAAAUGAAUCUUUCUUCGGACUACUUACAAGGUGCUGCAUGGUUGUCGUCAGCUCGUGCCGUGAGGUGUUAGGUUAAGUCCUGCAACGAGCGCAACCCCUAUUCUUAGUUGCCAUCAAGUAAAGUUGGGAACUCUAGCGAAACUGCCGGUGCAAACCGAGAGGAAGGUGGGGAUGACGUCAAAUCAUCACGGCCCUUACGUUCUGGGCUACACACGUGCUACAAUGGUCGGUACAGAAAGCAGCCACUAUGCGAAUAGGAGCUAAUCUUUAAAACCGAUCUCAGUUCGGAUCGCAGUCUGCAACUCGACUGCGUGAAGCUGGAAUCGCUAGUAA